ACACCAUGAUUGGGCAGGUGGUUUUUCCAGGACGAGGCUCAUCCCUUGCACUCCGGGUGUGCUGACCCCUGCGAUUUCCCCAAAUGCGGGAAACUGGACUGCAUAAUUGGUGCUGGGGGACACCAGGU